GACGAACGCUGGCGGCGUGCUUAACACAUGCAAGUCGAACGGAAAGGCCCCUUUGGGGGUCCUCGAGUGGCGAACGGGUGAGUAACACGUGAGUAACCUUCCCUUUACUCCUGGAUAACUUCAGGAAACUGGGGCUACUACCGGAAAGACAUCAUUGCUGCUUGGUGGGGGUUGGAAAGCUUCGGCGGUUUUGGAUGGACUGGCGGCCUAUCGUCUUGUUGGUGGGUUAGUGGGUUACCAAGGCUCUGACGUGUAGCCGGCCAGAGAGGGCGAGCGGCCACACAGGGACUUAGAGACGGCCCAGACGCCGACGAGAGGAAGAAGUGGGGAAGAUUGAACAAGGGGCGGCAGGCGGAUGCAGCAAGGCCGCGUGCGGGAUGACCGCCUUCGGGUUGAAAAACGGCUUCAGCAGGAGCGAAGCUUGUGGUGACGGUACCUGCAGAAGAAGCACCGGCUAACUACGUG
rnacentral:rRNA from 1 species